rnacentral:rRNA from 1 species
CCUACGGGUGGCAGCAGUGGGGAAUAUUGGACAAUGGGGGGAACCCUGAUCCAGCCAUGCCGCGUGUGUGAAGAAGGCCCUCGGGUUGUAAAGCACUUUCAGUGAGGAAGAACGCCUGGUGGUUAAUACCCAUCAGGAAAGACAUCACACACAGAAGAAGCACCGGCUAACUCCGUGCCAGCAGCCGCGGUAAUACGGAGGGUGCGAGCGUUAAUCGGAAUUACUGGGCGUAAAGCGCGCGUAGGUGGCUUGAUAAGCCGGUUGUGAAAGCCCCGGGCUCAACCUGGGAACGGCAUCCGGAACUGUCAAGCUAGAGUGCAGGAGAGGAAGGUAGAAUUCCCGGUGUAGCGGUGAAAUGCGUAGAGAUCGGGAGGAAUACCAGUGGCGAAGGCGGCCUUCUGGACUGACACUGACACUGAGGUGCGAAAGCGUGGGUAGCAAACAGGAUUAGAUACCCGUGUAGUC